rnacentral:lncRNA from 1 species
UGCUUCUCCACCUCCACCACCUUACGAGUACAAGUCGCCACCCCCUCCUUCUCCCUCUCCACCACCGCCUUAUGAGUACAAGUCGCCACCACCUCCUUCUCCAUCUCCUCCACCGCCAUAUGAAUACAAGUCGCCACCACCUCCUUCACCAUCACCUCCACCACCAUACUACUACUCUUCCCCACCACCUCCGAAGAAGUCACCUCCACCACCAUACUACUACUCCUCUCCACCACCACCCGAGAAGUCACCUCCUCCACCAUACUACUACUCCUCUCCUCCACCCCCGGAGAAGUCACCUCCACCACCUUACUACUACUCUUCUCCACCACCCCCCAAGAAGUCACCUCCACCUCCAUACUACUAUAGUUCUCCACCACCACCCGAGAAGUCACCUCCACCACCUUACUACUAUUCUUCUCCUCCACCACCCGAGAAGUCACCUCCACCACCAUACUACUACUACUCUCCUCCACCACCCAAGAAGUCACCUCCACCUCCAUACUACUACAGUUCUCCACCACCACCAGUUAAGUAUCCUCCUCCACCAUACUACUACCCUUCUCCACCACCACCCAAGGAAUCACCUCCUCCACCAUACUACUACUCCUCACCACCACCACCCAAGAAGUCACCCCCACCCCCAUACUACUACUCCUCUCCUCCACCACCAGUUAAAUAUCCUCCUCCACCAUACUACUACUCUUCCCCACCACCACCAGUUAAGUACCCUCCUCCACCAUAUUACUACAC